GAUGAACGCUGGCGGCGUGCCUAAUACAUGCAAGUCGAGCGAACGGACGAGAAGCUUGCUUCGCUGAUGUUAGCGGCGGACGGGUGAGUAACACGUGGAAAACCUACCUAUAAGACUGGGAUAACUUCGGGAAACCGGAGCUAAUACCGGAUGAUAUUUUGAAGCGCAUGGUUCAAAAGUGAAAGACGGUCUUGCUGGCACUUAUAGAUGGAUCCGCGCUGCACUAGCUAGUUGGUAAGGUAACGGCUUACCAAGGCAACGAUGCAUAGCCGACCUGAGAGGGGGAUCGGCCACACUGGAACUGAGACACGGUCCAGACUCCUACGGGAGGCAGCAGUAGGGAAUCUUCCGCAAUGGGCGAAAGCCUGACGGAGCAACGCCGCGUGAGUGAUGAAGGUCUUCGGAUCGUAAAACUCUGUUAUUAGGGAAGAACAUAUGUGUAAGUAACUGUGCACAUCUUGACGGUACCUAAUCAGAAAGCCACGGCUAACUACGG
rnacentral:rRNA from 1 species